GGCCGGUUAGCUCAGUUGGCUAGAGCGUGGUACUGAUAACGUCAAGGUCGCGGGUUACGAUCCCCGUAUGGGCCA